GCCGGCUUGGCGCAGUGGUAGCGCAGUGCUCUUGUAAAGCGAAGGUCGCGGGUUCAAAUCCCGCAGCCGGCU
rnacentral:tRNA from 2 species